rnacentral:miRNA from 1 species
ACGGCACCGCAGACCACGCCC